GAUACCCUGGUAGUCCACGCAGUAAACGAUGAGCACUAAUUGUCCGGUCCGAAUGAGGACUGGGUGAUACAGCGAAAGCGUUAAGUGCUCCACCUGGGGAGUACGCCGGCAACGGUGAAACUCAAAGGAAUUGACGGGGGCCCGCACAAGCGGAGGAACAUGUGGUUUAAUUCGAUGAUACGCGAGGAACCUUACCCGGGCUCAAACGCGGCGUGAAUACUUUUGAAAGGAGGUAGUCAGCAAUGACACGCCGCGAGGUGCUGCAUGGUUGUCGUCAGCUCGUGCCGUGAGGUGUCGGCUUAAGUGCCAUAACGAGCGCAACCCCUACCGUCAGUUGCCAACAGGUAAGGCUGGGGACUCUGACGGGACUGCCGGCGCAAGCUGCGAGGAAGGCGGGGAUGACGUCAAAUCAGCACGGCCCUUACGUCCGGGGCGACACACGUGUUACAAUGGCAGGUACAGCGGGAAGCCACCUGGCGACAGGGCGCGGAACCCGAAAACCUGUCUCAGUUCGGAUUGGAGUCUGCAACCCGACUCCAUGAAGCUGGAUUCGCUAGUAAUCGCGCAUCAGCCACGGCGCGGUGAAUACGUUCCCGGGCCUUGUACACACCGUCCGUCAAGCCAUGGAAGCCGGGAGUGCCUGAAGUGCGUGACCGCAAGGGGCGCCCUAAGGCAAUACCGGUGACUGGGGCUAAGUCGUAACAAGGUAAC
rnacentral:rRNA from 1 species